GAUGAACGCUGGCGGCGUGCUUAACACAUGCAAGUCGAACGUGAGAAUAGCAAUAUUUGAAAGUGGCAAACGGGUGAGUAACACGUGGGAACCCGCCCUGAAGUGGGGGAUAACGAUUGGAAACGGUCGCUAAUACCGCAUUGUUCUACUCGAACGGGAGUCGAGUAGAUAAAGAUUUAUCGCUUUAGGAGGGGCCCGCGGCCGAUUAGUUAGUUGGUGAGGUAAUGGCUCACCAAGACGAUUAUCGGUAGCUGGUCUGAGAGGACGAUCAGCCACACGGGAACUGAGACACGGUCCCGACUCCUACGGGGGGCAGCAGUGAGGAAUAUUGGUCAAUGGGCGAAAGCCUGAACCAGCAACGCCGCGUGGAGGAUGAAGGCUCUAGGGUUGUAAACUCCUUUUGUGGGGGAAAAGUAAGGAUGGUACCCCAAGAAUAAGUCACGGCUAACUACGUG
rnacentral:rRNA from 1 species